rnacentral:rRNA from 1 species
UCGCACACUCCUGCCACGUAGAAAGCACCGGUUCUCGUCCGAUGACUGAAAUUAGACUACGUUGGGCCGGGUUAGUUCUUGCAUGAGUGACCGGGGUGGGAAUACCCGGUGUUGCUGAC